UGGUUGAACAAGUUUUCCUCUUCUAUGAGCAAAGGGAAGGAGAGAUCAUUGGAGCUAGCUAGGUGACCCUAGGUCUAGAAACCACUCAGUUUGGAGUAAAGUUGGGUGCCCAAUUCCAACAAUCUUCCUUUGAAUAUCCUCCAUGUCAUUAUAUUGACCUGAAUGUUAUCAUUAAACUACUUCUUGGCUAUUAUUGUGAUCAUGUCAGGACCUUACAAGUUUAAAAAGAAUAAUGUACUAGUUAAAAGGGACAUUCUGGCUAUAGUAUCAACCUCUAUAAUAAAUCAAUAGCUUCAUGAUUUUCA